AUUUACUUCUAUGGGAUUAAAGCAAAACAAAAGCACUUUUUUUAAACUCUCUAUACAGAGUGUACUAUAAUUGGAUUCCUUGUUCCUCUUCCAAGCCAAGGCAUUGGAUCUGCAUUGUUUCUGCCAAGUUUUUUCUCCACGCUGCAAUGUCCUUGUUUGUGUUCUCUCCCAGUGUUCCAGGUUCUACUGUCAACCCAGGCUCAGGCUGUCCCACAUCCUCCCACAGAGGUCUUGCUUUGUUUUGAGAAAUGCUCAACAGAAGGAGGAAGUCCAGCAUAUCCACGGUGCAACUGAAAUGCCACCCUAGGAAGACUAAGGCCUCAUGGUGGGUGACAGCUGAGGUGACAGCUGAAGAUGAGGCUGGCUGAGGGAGGACAAUCCCACCAAAGUAUAGCGGACACCAGCAGUCUCUCUAGGCUCCCAACAGUCCUAAGGCUGAAGAGACUGUGAACAGGUCUGCACAAAGCCUACAAGCAAAGAAAGUCAUAAGCCUUAGGUUUCCCUGCAAUGACUUUCUGCAGUAGGUGGAGGAAGGGAAGAAAAAACCUAUCUCCAUGGAAAAACCACCUUAUAAGUCUUUCUAUAAAUUGCAGUAGAACAAAGGAAAAGUAUAUGCUCCUGCUGAUUAACCAUUUCUUUCAGAGGGAUGUGGAAGAGUAGGAAACAGUAUUGUAAUAAAAUCAAAACCUUAUUUAUUCUGCAAAGGUUACAAAUCCAUUUGACAUUAGAUAAUUCCUUAAUGAGGUGGUCAAAACAAAAACAAGUUGGUUAAAUUACUGUUCUAAUUUUCAAAAGAAUGCUUUCAGUGAAAAGAUUUCUUUAUGAACACAUAAUGAGGUUGGUGUUUUGUUACUUGGUUAAUACAACUGAAAGAGCACACCAGAAGAUUCUGUACACCCACAUCAAUGGUCGCUGCAAUGGCCCAGGAUGACCACAGUGUGUUCCAAUCAUCAUCUCCUCCCUACCCAACUCCACUCUCCUGACUCUGGGCUAUGGCCAAUACUGGCCUAGUUGACUUUCUUUGUCUCCUUUCCAAAAGCAACCGACUCUUCUCAGUGUGCCUCCCAGAGCAUCAUUCCAAGUAUCACUCCUGAUCCUCUCAUCAGUGUCCCAGUAACAGAGUCACAACCAAGAGAUCUCAUCAGGACUAUCUGCUCCAGGGGAUAGGCCAGGCUGAGCUUGGCAGACACACCAUAUAGAGGCCUGGAGCUUCAGGGGCUUCUAGAACCACUCUCGCUUCCUGAGGCCCCCCCAAGAGGGGAACACUUUUCAUCUCUGUACCCACCACCUUCAUUCACAUUCACAUGAAAUGUUUUGGAACCAUUUAACUU
rnacentral:lncRNA from 1 species